ensembl:lncRNA
UGAAGGUGUUGUUUCCAGGAUGCUCCCGUCAUUUGUGGGAAUGCUUGACGGAAGAACAAAGCACUUUGGCAGGUACAGACAGACAUUCACACCACUGGCAGUGGGCUGGAAUAAGAGGAAGUUCACCAACAUGGAUGUUGGCAAAAAGACAUGUGAAGAACGUCAGAAGACUGAAGGAGGAGACCAGCCUCCUUGAAGCAAAGCAGAGUUGGACAUCAAUGACACUGUGCUUCUGGAGUGGGUUGCUGGGGUGCUACAGUGGCCUGAAGACGAGAGGAGGACAAGAGAUGACGAGAGAACUGGAUGAGAACAAGCAGCCUUGACAGCUGCCAUCGUUCAACUUCACGAGCAGCAGACGGAGUUCAGGCUCCCAACAGUGGAGGAGCUGCUCAAUACUGACAACUGUGUGUGGCCAUGGGAGAGUCUUGGCACCAGUAAGAAACAUGAUUGCAGAAGACUGAUGGUGAACAGACUGCAGGAGGAAGAGAAGGUCCUGGUGCAGGAGAGGAGGCACUAGGGGAGCCUACAAAGAGCAGUAGGAUCCCUGGAGGCACUGUCCCUACAGCUGCAAGAUCAGAGGAAGUUGAGGUUUAUACUAUUUUUGGACCGAACAUUUUGUCUUGCUUUACAAAUACCCUCCACACUAUUUUGUGUAAUGGAAUUGUAAAUAAUUUACUGCUUUAUAUGUGACUUUUAGGCAGUGGGCACAAAACCAAGUCAACAGCAGGAACAGCUACCACAAGCUGAUUCUGGGAGAAGGGGAUAUUUUUGACGACUGAUGAAGAUGAGCUCAGAUGAAGAUAGAUGUCCUAUUGCUGAGAGCUCAGACGAUGCCUGCUAUGUUUUCUGAAAUCAUACACCUCCCCUGCCACAGGAGAGGGAGAAGGCCACCUCCCCUGCCUCUUUCUCUCAUUCUCUGUCUCCCACAGGAGAGGGAGAAGGCCACCACCCUUGCCACUUUGUCUCGGUCUCUCUCUCCCACAGGAAAGGGAGAAAGCCACCACCCCUGCCUCUUUCUCUCGGUCUCUCUCCCGCAGAAGAGGGAAAAGGUCACCACCACCUCCCUUUUGAGAAGCCUGGUCUCCUGAUGUUGACCCCCUAACCCCUCACCUUCUGAACUCAUCCAGGUCAAUGUAAUUUGCCUGAUGACGUGCUAGUGGAGAAGGAAUGUGUCAUUUGAGCGCAUUUGUUCCCAUGUUUCCUCUCCUCUGUUUCUUCCGGUCCUAGACUACGGCGACAUCAUCAGCAACUCAGACAGUUGGUUGCGUACCUCUUUACUAAGGAAUGUGGUUGGUUUAUUUUCUUGGAGUAUUUACUAUGCUGCUGUGAUUUAGAUGUUUGCAAAAUAAUCCUUGGUCUCAAUGAGACUGCUAAAAUAAAUAAAUAAAGAUCUUAAUAAAUAAAUGCAUUAACUUCUUAUGGCUGUAGGGGCAGUAUUGAGUAGCUUCAAAUCAAAUCAAAUCAAAUCAAAUUUUAUUUGUCACAUACACAUGGUUAGCAGAUGUUAAUGCGAGUGUAGCGAAUUGCUUGUGCUUCUAGUUCCGACAAUGCAGUAAUAACCAACAAGUAAUCUAACUAACAAUUCCAAAACUACUGUCUUAUACACAGUGUAAGGGGAUAAAGAAUAUGUACAUAAGGAUAUAUGAAUGAGUGAUGGUACAGAGCAGCAUAGGCAAGAUACAGUAGAUGAUAUCGAGUACAGUAUAUACAUAUGAGAUAAGUAUGUAAACCAAGUGGCAUAGUUAAAGUGGCUAGUG